ensembl:lincRNA
UUCACCCCUCCUCGCGUCAGCGUUAAACACAUUCGCAGUGCUGGGACGGUACUCUUCCCUGAAAUUAGACAUUAAUGUAAACACGGUAUCUAUCCUCUGAGGCUUUCCCAUCCCUCAGUGGAGUUUCGAUUCUGCGAAACAGCAUCAGUAAACACGCCCUGUAGCUGUAAAAAACCCGGAUUCGGUCUCCGGCUCCAAGUCCCGAAGCUGAAGACCCGACUCGCCAUGUUGAAGAGAACUCUCGCGCACUUUCUCGUUGCCUUGGUGUGCACGGGCGCCUUCACCGCAGGUGGAGGAGGCAGAACUGCAGAUGCGGAGGCAGCCUCUCCAGCCGGGAGAGACAGAGAAGUGGAUGAAGCCAUCGCCUACAUUCUGCGGUCUCUGGGUGCCACGGAUUCCAAAACAGCUGAAGCCUACAGAGAAAGAGUUGAAGCCAUCGUCCGUGCUCUGCUGUCAUACAGUAAGCAGGAUGUAGAGAGGUGUUGGUUGACAGGCAGGCAGACAGGUAGACAGACAGAGAGACAGACAGGCAGACAGGCAGGCAGACAGGUAGACAGACAGAGAGACAGACAGGCAGACAGGCAGGCAGACAGGUAGACAGACAGAGAGACAGACAGGCAGACGGGCAGACAGACAGGUAGACAGAGAGACAGACAGGCAAACAGGCAGACAGGCAGACAGAGAGACAGACAGGUAGACAGGCUGACAGGCAGACAGACAGACAGGUAGACAGGUAGACAGAGAGACAGACAAGUAGACAGGCAGACAGGCAGGUAGACAGGGUUAUGCACGUGUGAACGGUGAGUAACUCAGACUCUUCACUCUGUCCUAUCAGACGUAAGACUUACCACAGCCAAUAACCAAAACUCUGGCACCUUUAUCAAUCUGUACUUUUAACAAGUAUAUAAAAAACUCAGUUGAGGAUUAAAUCAGACAUUGAGUGAUUCUAGACACAAUGGCAAUGAACCAAAGGAAAUGUCUGAAAUCAGACAUUCCUCUUUGUCAGAAGACUGCCAGUAGUAUGACGCUACUUUUAUUUUGUAUUCUCUUGUUUUACUCACUCAAAAUAUUAAGCUCUUUCUGUCAUUGACCAAGAUGGCAAGAAUUUGGUCCUCUGCUGUGGACUUUCUCUGAGGCUCCAGUAGCCAUCUGAGGGUGUGAGAGUCACAGCUGCAUGCUGAAUUCCUGUCUGUGGCAAAAUUUCAGCCACAUCUCUCAACCACAGCUACGCUGCUCACUGGGUUCACGGUGUUCAUGUCAUUGUUGUUGCUGCCUCAGUCCUGGCUGUGUUGAAUGUGCUGCAACCCCUGAGUCUUCUUCCCAUGGUAUAUACGUGCCUUUCAUUUCUUAUCUCUGAAAUUUCACAUUAAUUUCUAUCAAAUUAUAUUUUGCUAUGCAUUGCCCUAUUUCUUGACUAAAAUUGUUUAGUCUCAUUCACAACAUGUUACCACCAUCUCCUUACAAAGACAUUCAAACAGACUCUCAGCAAACUAAGGCAUACACACGACAGCACAGAAUCAUCCAAAUGAGACUGGCCUCAAUGCUGACUUGCCUGUAUAUUAAGUGUACUCGUUUUAGUUUCUUACGUACCUAUUUCUACAUAUCACCAUGUUUGCAUCCCACACAGUUAUAGCCAAUGGCUUGAGGAAUAAGUAAGGCAGUACAAAUACCCCAGUAAAAUUACAGCUCUGCACGUGUUGGCUGUUUUAGUGACUGUGUGCCCAGCAUGUUCUGCUUUUAAAUUUUGAAAAACAGUGGAGUACAGGAUAGUGCCUCUGCUUCAUAAUUCUAUGGGUCUAG